UUUGUCAUGACAGACCCUGUUGUCAUUAAGGCUAUUACUGACAGUUACAGGGACAAAUUUUCAGUGUUGAAAUUAGACAGUCAUGAGUUUCAAGAAGAAAACAAGGUUUGAUUUUUCUAAAUAUAACAAGAUCAGUUAUGCUCAUCUCACUAUACUAUGUCUAUGGCUGCGGCUCAGUGCAUAUACAGCACAAGCACAAACAACAGCAGAAACAACUACAUAUAUACUGAAUAAUUCUCCAACAAGUACAAUUCAGUAUUCAACAAUUAUAGAGGAUACAACAAGCCCUACGAAUGUACCAUCCACUACAUCAACAGGAUAUACUAAUACAAACAUGA